rnacentral:lncRNA from 1 species
AAAUAAUAAACCGUUUGAAGAUUUAGAAACUAGACUUAAAGGGAUUUCUAUUCAUAUGAAAUUUAUCACCUAAUUCAUUGAGUACGAAUUAUAGUGAAUUUUCAAAGUUACACCUUGUGCAAUUUUUUUGACAACUGCAGAGUGUCUAGUAAAAAUUCAAAAUCUUUUCUUAGAAAAUUUGGAUUUUGAUUUGUUUGAUCCAUUAGAAAGUAGACUCAAAGAGCUUUCCAACCAUAUAAAUUUCAAAUAU